UACGUAGGGUGCAAGCGUUGUCCGGAAUUAUUGGGCGUAAAGAGCUUGUAGGCGGUUUGUCGCGUCUGCUGUGAAAUUUCGGGGCUCAACCCCGAACUUGCAGUGGGUACGGGCAGACUAGAGUGUGGUAGGGGAGACUGGAAUUCCUGGUGUAGCGGUGAAAUGCGCAGAUAUCAGGAGGAACACCGAGGGCGAAGGCAGGUCUCUGGGCCACUACUGACGCUGAGAAGCGAAAGCAUGGGGAGCGAACAGG
rnacentral:rRNA from 1 species